GAGGCUUCCAGUGCGGUAACGCGACCGAUCCUUGAGAAGCUGGCGGGAGCCCCGGGGAGAGUUCUCUUUUCUUUGUGAAGGGCAGGGCGCCCUGGAAUGGGUUCGCCCUGAGAGAGGGGCCCAAGCCCUGGAAAGCGUUGCAGUUUCGGCGGUGUCCAGUGAGCUCUCCCUGGCCCUUGAAAAUCCGGGGGAGAGGGUGUAAAUCUC
rnacentral:ncRNA from 1 species